rnacentral:lncRNA from 1 species
UCCUGCGUUGGUUAGUCGCAGAAAGAUCAGUGCACGAAUCACAAUAGAGAAGAAACACCAUAGCAUGCAAUCAUAAGAUACAAACAGGUUAUGUAACUUUGUGCUUCAGAUUUUUUUGCCCGGUUAAAAGUUGAAAAAGUUGAAUAUGGUCACGUCAGGUUGUUUUUGAGUUGCAUAUUUUCAAGGUUCAUUGCUUAGAUGGUGCUCGGGCAUGCAACUAGUCAGCUAAGAAUUAAAAGGAAGCGAUAUAAACGAGUCGAGAACACCUUAGGCUUGUAAAGGAAGCAGAAUUUUAAUUGCAGAGUUAUGAAACAUGCAAGGGCAUAAUGGAUGGAACAAAAAUAAUAUAUGAACU